rnacentral:rRNA from 1 species
ACGAACGCUGGCGGCGUGCUUAACACAUGCAGGGCGAACGGAAAGGCCCUGCUUUUGUGGGGUGCUCGGGUGGCGAACGGGGGAGUAACACGUGAGUAACCUGCCCUUGACUUUGGGAUAACUUCAGGAAACUGGGGCUAAUACCGGAUAGGAGCUCCUGCUGCAUGGUGGGGGUUGGAAAGUUUCGGCGGUUGGGGAUGGACUCGCGGCUUAUCAGCUUGUUGGUGGGGUAGUGGCUUACCAAGGCUUUGACGGGUAGCCGGCCUGGGAGGGUGACCGGGCACCUUGGGACUGCGGUACGGCCCAGUCUCCUACGGGCGGCAGCAGUGGAGAAUCUUGCACAAUGGGCGGAAGCCUGAUGCAGCGACGCCGCGUGCGGGAUGACGGCCUUCGGGUUGUAAACCGCUUUCGCCUGUGACGAAGCGUGAGUGACGGUAAUGGGUCAAGAAGCACCGGCUAACUACGUG